AAAACCAGGUGGUUCAAUACUCAUAAGUGGAUUUAGUCAAACAUGGAUGGCCUGGUUUGUGUUGAUAAUCUUAUCCGAAUGGUUGGGUUGUACACCUGUGGGUACUUCCGAUUGGAGUAAAUUGAUUACACUUGGAGGUCUUAAAAAUAUGAUGAAGCGGUAUAAGUGCAAAUUAGUCGCUUCCAAAGGCAUAUCUCAUAAUGUCUUCGCCGAUACUUGGACAAUAAGCAAAUGCCAGUCGAUGUGUUAUGCUGCGCGCUUCGUUAAA